rnacentral:tRNA from 1 species
GUGGAAUUAGCUCAGCUGGUUAGAGCGCCAGGUUGUGGCCCUGGAGGUCGUGGGUUCGAACCCCAUAUUUCACC